GCAGUCGAGCGGAAGGCCCCUUCGGGGGUACUCGAGCGGCGAACGGGUGAGUAACACGUGAGCAACCUGCCCCUGACUCUGGGAUAAGCCCGGGAAACUGGGUCUAAUACCGGAUAUGACCACUCCAGGCAUCUGGUGGUGGUGGAAAGUUUUUCGGUUGGGGAUGGGCUCGCGGCCUAUCAGCUUGUUGGUGGGGUGAUGGCCUACCAAGGCGACGACGGGUAACCGGCCUGAGAGGGCGACCGGUCACACUGGGACUGAGACACGGCCCAGACUCCUACGGGAGGCAGCAGUGGGGAAUAUUGCGCAAUGGGCGGAAGCCUGACGCAGCGACGCCGCGUGGGGGAUGACGGCCUUCGGGUUGUAAACCCCUUUCAGCAGGGACGAAGCUAACGUGACGGUACCUGCAGAAGAAGCGCCGGCUAACUACGUGCCAGCAGCCGCGGUAAUACGUAGGGCGCAAGCGUUGUCCGGAAUUAUUGGGCGUAAAGAGCUCGUAGGCGGUUUGUCGCGUCUGUCGUGAAAGCCCACGGCUUAACCGUGGGUCUGCGGUGGAUACGGGCAGACUAGAGGCAGGUAGGGGAGAAUGGAAUUCCCGGUGUAGCGGUGAAAUGCGCAGAUAUCGGGAGGAACACCGGUGGCGAAGGCGGUUCUCUGGGCCUGUACUGACGCUGAGGAGCGAAAGCGUGGGGAGCGAACAGGAUUAGAUACCCUGGUAGUCCACGCCGUAAACGUUGGGCGCUAGGUGUGGGGUUCUUCCACGGAUUCCGCGCCGUAGCUAACGCAUUAAGCGCCCCGCCUGGGGAGUACGGCCGCAAGGCUAAAACUCAAAGGAAUUGACGGGGGCCCGCACAAGCGGCGGAGCAUGUUGCUUAAUUCGACGCAACGCGAAGACCUUACCAGGCUUGACAUCGUCUGGAAAUCCCGCAUAGAUGCGGGGUCUUUUUGGGCCGGAUGACAGUGGUGCAUGGCCUGUCGUCAGCUCGUGUCGUGAGAUGUUGGGUAAGUCCUGCAACGAGCG
rnacentral:rRNA from 1 species